GGAUUGGUGGUGUAGUGGUAACGCAUGCCGUGGCAACAACAGUCGUGCCCGCGGCAAGUCCCAGGUUCAAUUCCUGGCCGAUCUA